GAUGAACGCUGGCGGCGUGCCUAAUACAUGCAAGUCGAGCGAACAGACGAGGAGCUUGCUCCUCUGACGUUAGCGGCGGACGGGUGAGUAACACGUGGAUAACCUACCUAUAAGACUGGGAUAACUUCGGGAAACCGGAGCUAAUACCGGAUAAUAUAUUGAACUGCAUGGUUUAAUAGUGAAAGACGGUUUUGCUGUCACUUAUAGAUGGAUCCGCGCCGCAUUAGCUAGUUGGUAAGGUAACGGCUUACCAAGGCAACGAUGCGUAGCCGACCUGAGAGGGUGAUCGGCCACACUGGAACUGAGACACGGUCCAGACUCCUACGGGAGGCAGCAGUAGGGAAUCUUCCGCAAUGGGCGAAAGCUUGACGGAGCAACGCCGCGUGAGUGAUGAAGGUCUUCGGAUCGUAAAACUCUGUUAUUAGGGAAGAACGAAUGUGUAAGUAACUAUGCACGUCUUGACGGUACCUAAUCAGAAAGCCACGGCUAACUACGUG
rnacentral:rRNA from 1 species